UGCUAUCACAUUAAUGUAGCACACGGUAUUGACACACACAAUAUCAUGGAACACAAAACAAUAUUACAAAAACACUACUAAGUAAAAUUAUAGUGAUUAACAAUUAACUAACUAUUUCAACGACACGCUACUGUUGACAUUAAACCAACGCCAUACCAAAGAUACACGCGAGCGGCCAUGUUGAAAAAUUCGUCGCGCGCGCAUACAAACAAUAGCCAAUACAAUGUAAUACAGCAUCAUAAUAGCAAUGUUAGGUACGAAUAAAAAAGAAAAAAAAGGGAGAGAGUUAAGGCAAAUAUAUAUAGUAAAUAACAACUAACAUAAUCAUAACAUAUUAUAUAUAUUAUACUAUAUACAGAGAUACAGUAUUCAUACAAGGAACAGGUCCGAAUGAAACAUAUAUAUAAAAAAAAAAAUAUAAUAUAUAUAUAUAUUAACUAUUUUUGUAUGUGUGUACAGAACUGAUGGCGAAUUCAUCAACCAUUCUCUGAACGACGGAUGGAAGAACAUGUAGGUGUUGUCCAGACGUUUCACGAGGAAUCUAGAAAGCAUUUUGAAUCUCUGCAGAAAAUCCUUCCAUGCAUGUUCGUUUACAAAAACCUGACAGACAUCGAAAGAAUUUUUUUUUUUAUUUUUAGAAUAGCAAUCCGCACCGUAGAACUGUAAAGCACCUGUACGCCACUCACGAAACCAAAUACUUUUGCUAUCCAUCUGUAAACAAACAACAUCUA